rfam:Alligator sinensis unplaced genomic scaffold scaffold140_1, whole genome shotgun sequence
GACUCUGUAGUAUAAGGCAGCGUGUCUGACUCGCUGUCAGAAGGUUGUGUGUUCAAAUCAUACCGGGGUCG